CGAGUAGAGUUGUAGUCCUGGCACAGGACGACGCUGGCGGCGUGCUUAACACAUAGCAAGUCGAACGAUGAAGCCUAGCUUGCUAGUGGAUUAGUGGCGAACGGGUGAGUAAUACGUGAGUAACCUACCUUUAACUCUGGGAUAAGCCUGGGAAACUGGGUCCAAUACCGGAUACGACCAAUCUCCGCAUGGGGUGUUGGUGGAAAGCGUUAUGUAGUGGUUAUAGAUGGGCUCACGGCCUAUCAGCUUGUUGGUGAGGUAACGGCUCACCAAGGCGACGACGGGUAGCCGGCCUGAGAGGGUGACCGGCCACACUGGGACUGAGACACGGCCCAGACUCCUACGGGAGGCAGCAGUGGGGAAUAUUGCACAAUGGGCGCAAGCCUGAUGCAGCGACGCCGCGUGAGGGAUGACGGCCUUCGGGUUGUAAACCUCUGUCAGCAGGGAAGAAGAGAGAUUGACGGUACCUGCAGAGAAAGCGCCGGCUAACUACGUG
rnacentral:rRNA from 1 species